rnacentral:tRNA from 7 species
GCGGGCCUGGUGCAGCGGUAUAGCCUACCACCUGUAACGGGAAGGCCCCGGGUUCAAGCCCCAGCCUCUGCA